GACGAACGCUGGCGGCGUGCCGAAUACAUGCAAGUUGAGCGCUGAAGGUUGGUACUUGUACCCACUGGAUGAGCGGCGAACGGGUGAGUAACGCGUGGGGAAUCUGCCUUUGAGCGGGGGACAACAUUUGGAAACGAAUGCUAAUACCGCAUAAAAACUUUAAACACAAGUUUUAAGUUUGAAAGAUGCAAUUGCAUCACUCAAAGAUGAUCCCGCGUUGUAUUAGCUAGUUGGUGAGGUAAAGGCUCACCAAGGCGAUGAUACAUAGCCGACCUGAGAGGGUGAUCGGCCACAUUGGGACUGAGACACGGCCCAAACUCCUACGGGAGGCAGCAGUAGGGAAUCUUCGGCAAUGGACGAAAGUCUGACCGAGCAACGCCGCGUGAGUGAAGAAGGUUUUCGGAUCGUAAAACUCUGUUGGUAGAGAAGAACGUUGGUGAGAGUGGAAAGCUCAUCAAGUGACGGUAACUACCCAGAAAGGGACGGCUAACUACGUG
rnacentral:rRNA from 1 species